AGCUGCAGCCACACCACCUGAAUAUGCCCAGUCUCAUCUAAUAACGGAAGUUAAGCAGGGCCAGACCUGGUUGGACUUGAGUGGGAGAAAGCCAAGCCCAGAGGAGCCACCUGUUUUCCCUGCAGCAGCUA
rnacentral:rRNA from 1 species